ACCUCCUUAGAGUUUGAUCCUGGCUCAGAUUGAACGCUGGCGGCAGGCCUAACACAUGCAAGUCGAACGGUAACAUUUCUAGCUUGCUAGAAGAUGACGAGUGGCGGACGGGUGAGUAAUGCUUGGGAACUUGCCUUUGCGAGGGGGAUAACAGUUGGAAACGACUGCUAAUACCGCAUAAUGUCUUCGGACCAAACGGGGCUUCGGCUCCGGCGCAAAGAGAGGCCCAAGUGAGAUUAGCUAGUUGGUAAGGUAACGGCUUACCAAGGCGACGAUCUCUAGCUGUUCUGAGAGGAAGAUCAGCCACACUGGGACUGAGACACGGCCCAGACUCCUACGGGAGGCAGCAGUGGGGAAUAUUGCACAAUGGGGGAAACCCUGAUGCAGCCAUGCCGCGUGUGUGAAGAAGGCCUUCGGGUUGUAAAGCACUUUCAGUUGUGAGGAAAAGUUAGUAGUUAAUACCUGCUAGCCGUGACGU
rnacentral:rRNA from 1 species